GACAGAGGGUGCAAACGUUGUUCGGAAUUACUGGGCGUAAAGCGCGUGUAGGCGGCUCGAUAAGUCGGAUGUGAAAGCCCUGGGCUCAACCUAGGAAGUGCAUUCGAAACUGCUGAGCUUGAGUUCUGGAGAGGAAGGCGGAAUUCUCGGUGUAGAGGUGAAAUUCGUAGAUAUCGAGAGGAACACCGGUGGCGAAGGCGGCCUUCUGGACAG
rnacentral:rRNA from 1 species